AGUGAACGCUGGCGGUAGGCCUAACACAUGCAAGUCGAACGGCAGCACAGUAAGAGCUUGCUCUUACGGGUGGCGAGUGGCGGACGGGUGAGGAAUACAUCGGAAUCUACUUUUUCGUGGGGGGUAACGUAGGGAAACUUACGCUAAUACCGCAUACGACCUACGGGUGAAAGCAGGGGAUCUUCGGACCUUGCGCGAUUGAAUGAGCCGAUGUCGGAUUAGCUAGUUGGCGGGGUAAAGGCCCACCAAGGCGACGAUCCGUAGCUGGUCUGAGAGGAUGAGCAGCCACACUGGAACUGAGACACGGUCCAGACUCCUACGGGAGGCAGCAGUGGGGAAUAUUGGACAAUGGGCGCAAGCCUGAUCCAGCCAUACCGCGUGGGUGAAGAAGGCCUUCGGGUUGUAAAGCCCUUUUGUUGGGAAAGAAAAGCAGCAGGUUAAUACCCCGCUGUUCUGACGGUACCCAAAGAAUAAGCACCGGCUAACUUCGUG
rnacentral:rRNA from 1 species